rnacentral:tRNA from 2 species
GGGGGCAUAGCUCAGUUGGGAGAGCAGUAGACUGAAGAUAUCACGUGUUCUAAAGGUCCCGCGUUCGAUCCGCGGUGCCCCCA